rnacentral:rRNA from 1 species
CCUACGGGCGGCAGCAGUCGAGAAUCAUUCACAAUGGGGGAAACCCUGAUGGUGCGACGCCGCGUGGGGGAAUGAAGGUCUUCGGAUUGUAAACCCCUGUCAUGUGGGAGCAAAUUAAAAAGAUAGUACCACACGAGGAAGAGACGGCUAACUCUGUGCCAGCAGCCGCGGUAAUACAGAGGUAUCAAGCGUUGUUCGGAAUCACUGGGCGUAAAGCGUGCGUAGGCUGUUUCGUAAGUCGUGUGUGAAAGGCGCGGGCUCAACCCGCGGACGGCACAUGAUACUGCGAGACUAGAGUAAUGGAGGGGGAACCGGAAUUCUCGGUGUAGCAGUGAAAUGCGUAGAUAUCGAGAGGAACACUCGUGGCGAAGGCGGGUUCCUGGACAUUAACUGACGCUGAGGCACGAAGGCCAGGGGAGCGAAAGGGAUUAGAUACCCGAGUAGUC